AGCGAGCUUUCUCUGCAAGUUAUGUGAUGAACUCCUACUACAGGAGCGAUUUUUAUCUGAAACGUGACUUUGAUCAAAGCCCCGAAUAUAGUAGGAGUCAUGACGUAGCUUGCAGAAAGACAUCCUCACU
rnacentral:pre_miRNA from 1 species